rnacentral:rRNA from 1 species
UACGUAGGGUGCGAGCGUUAAUCGGAAUUACUGGGCGUAAAGCGUGCGCAGGCGGUUUUGUAAGCCAGAUGUGAAAUCCCCGGGCUUAACCUGGGAAUGGCAUUUGGGACUGCAAGGCUGGAGUGUGGCAGAGGAGACUGGAAUUCCUGGUGUAGCAGUGAAAUGCGUAGAUAUCAGGAGGAAUACCGAUGGCGAAGGCAGCCCCCUGGGUCGAUACUGACGCUCAUGCACGAAAGCGUGGGGAGCAAACAGG